AAACUUAAAGGAAUUGACGGGGCCCGCACAAGCGGUGGAGCAUGUGGUUUAAUUCGACGCAACGCGAAGAACCUUACCAGGGCUUGACAUCCCCUGACCGCGUAUGAAAGUACGUUUUCACCUUCGGGAGACAGGGAGACAGGUGGUGCAUGGUUGUCGUCAGCUCGUGUCGUGAGAUGUUGGGUUAAGUCCCGCAACGAGCGCAACCCCUACGUUUAGUUGCUAACGCGUGAAGGCGAGCACUCUAGACGAACUGCCGUUGACAAAACGGAGGAAGGUGGGGAUGACGUCAAAUCAUCAUGCCCCUUAUGUUCUGGGCUACACACGUGCUACAAUGGCCGGUACAAAGGGCAGCGACACAGCGAUGUGAAGCGAAUCCCGAAAAGCCGGUCUCAGUCCGGAUUGGAGUCUGCAACUCGACUCCAUGAAGUUGGAAUCGCUAGUAAUCGCGGAUCAGCACGCCGCGGUGAAUACGUUCCCGGGCCUU
rnacentral:rRNA from 1 species